CCUACGGGCGGCAGCAGUGGGGAAUAUUGCACAAUGGGCGAAAGCCUGAUGCAGCAACGCCGCGUGAGCGAUGAAGGCCUUCGGGUCGUAAAGCCCUGUCCUCAAGGAAGAUAAUGACGGUAUCUGACGAGGAAGCCCCGGCUAACUACGUGCCAGCAGCCGCGGUAAUACGUAGGGGGCUAGCGUUAUCCGGAAUUACUGGGCGUAAAGGGCGCGUAGGUGGUUUCUUAAGUCAGAGGUGAAAGGCUACGGCUUAACCGUAGUAUGCCUUUGAAACUGGGAAACUUGAGUGCAGGAGAGGAGGGUGGAAUUCCUGGUGUAGCGGUAAAAUGCGUAGAUAUUAGGAGGAACACCCGUUGCGAAGGCGGCUCUCUGGACUGUAACUGACGCUGAGGCGCGAAAGCGUGGGGAGCAAACAGGAUUAGAUACCCGAGUAGUC
rnacentral:rRNA from 1 species